UUUUGGACAAUGGACGAAAGUCUGAUCCAGCAAUGCCGCGUGCAGGACGAAGGCCUUCGGGUUGUAAACUGCUUUUGUACGGAACGAAAAAGUCUUUUUUAAUAAAGAGGGCUUAUGACGGUACCGUAAGAAUAAGCACCGGCUAACUACGUGCCAGCAGCCGCGGUAAUACGUAGGGUGCGAGCGUUAAUCGGAAUUACUGGGCGUAAAGCGUGCGCAGGCGGUUAUAUAAGACAGAUGUGAAAUCCCCGGGCUCAACCUGGGACCUGCAUUUGUGACUGUAUAGCUAGAGUACGGUAGAGGGGGAUGGAAUUCCGCGUGUAGCAGUGAAAUGCGUAGAUAUGCGGAGGAACACCGAUGGCGAAGGCAAUCCCCUGGACCUGUACUGACGCUCACGCACGAAA
rnacentral:rRNA from 1 species